rnacentral:rRNA from 1 species
ACGGGAGGCAGCAGUGGGGAAUAUUGGGCAAUGGGCGCAAGCCUGACCCAGCGACGCCGCGUGAGUGAAGAAGUAUUUCGGUAUGUAAAGCUCUAUCAGCAGGGAAGAUAAUGACGGUACCUGACUAAGAAGCCCCGGCUAACUACGUGCCAGCAGCCGCGGUAAUACGUAGGGGGCAAGCGUUAUCCGGAUUUACUGGGUGUAAAGGGAGCGUAGGCGGCGCUGCAAGUCAGAUGUGAAAUGCGGGGGCUCAACUCCUGAACUGCUUUGGAAACUGUCGAACUAGAGUGCAGGAGAGGUAAGUGGAAUUCCUAGUGUAGCGGUGAAAUGCGUAGAUAUUAGGAGGAACACCAGUGGCGAAGGCGGCUUACUGGACUGUAACUGACGUUGAGGCUCGAAAGCGUGGGGAGCAAACAGGAUUAGAUACCCUGGUA